rnacentral:rRNA from 1 species
AUUGAACGCUGGCGGCAGGCUUAACACAUGCAAGUCGAACGAGUGGCGGACGGGUGAGUAAUGUUUGGGAAACUAGCCGAUGGAGGGGGAUAACUACUGGAAACUGUAGCUAAUACCGCGUACCAUCGGAUGUGCCCAGGUGGGAUUAGGUAGUUGGUGGGGUAAAGGCUCACCAAGGCGACGAUCUCUAGCUGGUCUGAGAGGAUGACCAGCCACACUGGAACUGAGACACGGCCCAGACUCCUACGGGAGGCAGCAGUGGGGAAUAUUGCGCAAUGGGGGCAACCCUGAUGCAGCCAUGCCGCGUGAAUGAAGAAGGCCUUCGGGUUGUAAAGUUCUUUCGGUGGCGAGGCGUUAACUACAGAAGAAGCACCGGCUAACUCCGUGCCAGCAGCCGCGGUAAUUC